rnacentral:rRNA from 1 species
GCAGUCGAACGAGUUCUCGUUGAUGAUCGGUGCUUGCACCGAGAUUCAACAUGGAACGAGUGGCGGACGGGUGAGUAACACGUGGGUAACCUGCCCUUAAGUGGGGGAUAACAUUUGGAAACAGAUGCUAAUACCGCAUAGAUCCAAGAACCGCAUGGUUCUUGGCUGAAAGAUGGCGUAAGCUAUCGCUUUUGGAUGGACCCGCGGCGUAUUAGCUAGUUGGUGAGGUAAUGGCUCACCAAGGCGAUGAUACGUAGCCGAACUGAGAGGUUGAUCGGCCACAUUGGGACUGAGACACGGCCCAAACUCCUACGGGAGGCAGCAGUAGGGAAUCUUCCACAAUGGACGCAAGUCUGAUGGAGCAACGCCGCGUGAGUGAAGAAGGCUUUCGGGUCGUAAAACUCUGUUGUUGGAGAAGAAUGGUCGGCAGAGUAACUGUUGUCGGCGUGACGGUAUCCAACCAGAAAGCCACGGCUAACUACGUGCCAGCAGCCGCGGUAAUACGUAGGUGGCAAGCGUUAUCCGGAUUUAUUGGGCGUAAAGCGAGCGCAGGCGGUUUUUUAAGUCUGAUGUGAAAGCCCUCGGCUUAACCGAGGAAGCGCAUCGGAAACUGGGAAACUUGAGUGCAGAAGAGGACAGUGGAACUCCAUGUGUAGCGGUGAAAUGCGUAGAUAUAUGG